rnacentral:rRNA from 1 species
UGAGGAAUAUUGGUCAAUGGACGAGAGUCUGAACCAGCCAAGUAGCGUGAAGGAUGACUGCCCUAUGGGUUGUAAACUUCUUUUAUACGGGAAUAAAGUGAGCACGUGUGCCUUUUUGUAUGUACCGUAUGAAUAAGGAUCGGCUAACUCCGUGCCAGCAGCCGCGGUAAUACGGAGGAUCCGAGCGUUAUCCGGAUUUAUUGGGUUUAAAGGGAGCGUAGGCGGGUGCUUAAGUCAGUUGUGAAAGUUUGCGGCUCAACCGUAAAAUUGCAGUUGAUACUGGGCGCCUUGAGUGCAGCAUAGGUAGGCGGAAUUCGUGGUGUAGCGGUGAAAUGCUUAGAUAUCACGAAGAACUCCUAUUGCGAAGGCAGCUUACUGGACUGUAACUGACGCUGAUGCUCGAAAGUGUGGGGUAUCAAACAGGAUUAGAUACC